rnacentral:piRNA from 1 species
CUCCUAUCUCAGAAUGGAACGAACAUAGGAUC